CGUGGCAUCCACCCGCUCCAUCUCAGUGCUCUCAUCUAAGCAUUGAAGAAGGGGAAGAUAAAAGUUUCUGCCCUGCAUCUUCUCUGAGUACAACUUCGAUUUUCAGGCUGCAAUAGUAUCACCAUCAAAUGAGAAGAAGGUGUGGCGCUACUUAUUGCACUUGCACGAACUGAGGUUCAGGGUAACAUCUGCUGAAAUAGGACUCUGCUUGCUGGAUGUGUUUGCAACAACGCGAGUUGCUAUUUGUUGGAAAUUUUGAGGGGAAAAAACUACAACUGCUAUUCUAAAAUCUAAUUUUAUACUCUGAAAAAGUUUGAUUUUGUGGACAAAUCCAAAAGAAAACGAUUUUCCAUCCGAAAGACGAAGGGUUCUCUGCAAAUUUAGCAGACCACCAAAGCUCUAACUUGAGUAGCUAUGAUACUGCUUCGUGGUUCUAACUAAAGUAUUAUUGAUUCACAAGAACUUUGAAAAGGUACGCCUUUACGCCUCCCACUUCUCAUGUUUAGUGCAAGUUAUAUGAUAUAGUUGAUGGCACUGAGGUUUUUGAUAUAAAGUUAUGUAUAUACAGUUGUUUCAGAAAUAGAAUAUAAGCUCUUGAUUUGCCAAAAUUUACCAUGCUCAUUAUGUGUUUGACAAUAUGUUCAAAAGAAUGAGUACAAUAUGUUUAACUAAGAACAAAGAAUGAGUCUUUCGCUAUUCAGGGGUAUUCCUGAUAUUCUAAAUUUUACAAAAUUUGACGUA